ACGAACGCUGGCGGCGCGCUUCAUACAUGCAAGUCGAACGUGAAGCCCGGAGCUUGCUCUGGGUGGAAAGUGGCGAACGGGUGAGGAACACGUGGGGAACCUGCCCCGAAGACCGGGAUAACACCGGGAAACCGGUGCUAAUACCGGAUGCCCUCAUCGGAACUCAUGUUCCGAUGAGGAAAUGGAUUCCGCUUCGGGAUGGCCUCGCGGCCUAUCAGCUUGUUGGUGGGGUAACGGCCCACCAAGGCUUCGACGGGUAGCUGGUCUGAGAGGAUGUCCAGCCACACUGGGACUGAGACACGGCCCAGACUCCUACGGGAGGCAGCAGUAGGGAAUCUUGCGCAAUGAGCGAAAGCUUGACGCAGCGACGCCGCGUGCGGGAUGAAGGCCCUCGGGUCGUAAACUGCUUUUAUAUAGGAAUAAACCCCCUUUCGUGAGAGGGGCUGAAGGUACUAUAAGAAUAAGGACCGGCUAACUCCGU
rnacentral:rRNA from 1 species